rnacentral:lncRNA from 1 species
UAUGUCUUAUCAAUAUUCGACAAAUAUAUUGCAAGACGAUGGGUGCUGUUGAAAUUGAGGAAAUAAGCAAAGAAGAGAUAGACACUCUUUGAUCGCCUAGGCCUAGCUAGUCGAGUAGGCCUAAUAGUAGUAGAGUAGUAGGCCUAGUAGUAGGCCUCUAAUGUAAUAGGCUAUAGGAAGUAAGUACUUUCUUAGGCCUCGUUGAAUCUAUGUAUGAGGUAUAUAAAACAAAUAUUGACUGCUCUAUAUUCGGGGAACAGUGAAAUCCAUUGCCCCUCGGAGAUGCGGAGACCGUAGCCUAUCUACAGUCUCCACAUACUUCAGGGCAAUAGAUUUCACCAUUCCCCUCAUGAACAGUCAAUAUUUGUAUAAUAUACAAUUUUUUUAACUGUUGGGAUGCGUAAUCAGGCCAAACUAUUUUAUUUUUGCGGAAGAAAGUAUAAUAUACGGCUCGUCCAAUCACAGGGAUGAAGAGCUAAAGAGUGUUUACUCUUUCAGCAAACAACAUAGGAUGAAUUCAGCUUGAUGAACACAUGGUAAUAAAUAUCAAGUAAAAUAUUUUCUUCUUGUGAAUACUUUUGUUUAAUACCAAACAAUACAGACUAAACAUAAUUUCCUUGUAUAUAGUUGAAUUUGUCAUUUGUAGGUGCUGUUCAUGUUUCUUAUACUCUGUAACUCACUAAAAUAACAGGUAAACUAACAAUACAUAUUUUGUGUUUUCACCUUGGAACACUAUAGCAAAGAUCUUCAGAAGAUAAGUUAUUUUGUUAAUAGGUGGAUGUAUUUUUCUUUAAUUAUAAUCAUUAACAGUUUUGAUUUUGAAAUAGUUGAUAUAAUUUACUUAUUAAUAAAUUAACCCUAUCUAGUAGAACCUUAGAGCAAAGUAUAUAUUUUUAAGUUUAAAUAAUAAUUUACUAUUUUUGUUAAUAAAUAUAAUUUGUCUUGAAGUAAAUUGUAAUUGUUCCAUAUAUAGUUUUUAAAUUUUCCAUAUAAUGAGGGCAGUAUAACAAUAUUAAAUUUGUAUUCAUAAUUUAUUAGGAUGAUUUUCUAUCAUGAAUUUCUUUAUGCUAAAAAUCCUAUUAAAAUUAUCGGUGGAAUCGUAGAUAAUAAAAAUUUACAUCAUAUACAGUAGAGUUUCUUUUGUUGUUGAUGAUUUAUAUUAACUAGUGUGAAACCUCUUUAAAAAUUCAUAGAGGUUUCAAAAUGUAUGAACAUUUUUAUAAAGGUUUUGAGAAGAUUUUGGAUUUAUUUUGCUCAUUCAUUUCCCAGUCAUAUAUUUCUAAUGUUGUACAAUAGUGUAAUAUAGAUAUUUUGGCUUGUGUCAUAGAAAAAAGUUAUUGUACAGGCCAUUUUUUUUCAAGGACCAAUAUGAACUUAUGUACAUUUGUCUCUUGCAACACUGGAGUAAAAAUCUUCUAUUGAGUCUAUACUUAAUCCCACUGUGUGGCUAGCCAACUCCCAAGUGCAAAACUAGUAGUAUGCCUACAGCUCUGUAUGAUUUUUUUGUGCCUAUUUACCCUGGUAAUGUUGAAAUCCUUCAGAGGUUUCAUCGAUAUAUCCUCAAUAGAAAUACUAAUAAUGCAAUAUUGACAUAGAGGUACAGCAAUCAUAAUGCAGUUGUGAUAUUCAUGCAGAUAUUAAAAUUGAUUUUGGGGUUUAAUGAUAACUAAAACUUUAUUGUAGCCCAAGUUGUUUAUAGUGUAAUAAACAUUAACAAUAAAAGAGAAGUUUUUUUGUUGUAUUAAAAAAAAAAAAAAAUUAACUGAAAACAUAUACUGUAUUAACUGAGGACAAAUGUCUGGACAAGGUUGGCACUGAUACUAGAUAGCAGACUUUUCGUAAAUAACAUCCCAGCAGAGGUGGUGGGGACAAGGGGGCACCGGACUCUUGAGGGGGAGACACUGGGCCCCUUCUGGGGAUCCCAGGAUCCCCUGUCAGAGAAGAAUCCAAUUAUUUUUUCGCGGAAACUGCUUUAAAAGAGAAUGCUAUUUGUGGGCAUCUAGAGGUGAUUUGGGGCUGAGUGAGUGUGGACCCCCUUUUAGAGAUCUUAAAACUCUCGUUUGGGGGACUUAAACCUCUUGUUAGGGAAUUUCUUGUUUGCUCAUAGGUUGUAUAGGUUAACGGUCUGUGUAAUCAGAGAUCCGUUGUCAGGAUAAUUUUAAGCAGGCAUGGCAAUUGAGAGACCUCAGAAUAAUAUUUAGAACUUGUGAUUUUUGCAUUUUAACACCAGUUAAGCCAAUACAGAUUCAGAUAAGUUUUUUCCCCUUUUGAAUUUUUUGACAUCGUUAGUUUGCUUUCCUCAUCUGUCUUUUAAAAACCUGUGUCAUUAAUAAAGAUGCGUAAAAUUUGUAGGAAAAGACUAAUUAAAAACAAUAAAGUUGUAUACUAAUUCAAGUUCAAUUUAUAUUAUACAGUAAUACUAUUUUUUUUAUAGAAUCUGCAAUGAUUACAUAAAAGUAAUAAUGAAAGUACUGUAGUUAUUGGAAGGUUUAAUGGAAGUUUAAUGUAGAUGACUUAAGAUAUAUAAUAUAUAUAGAUUGCCCAAUUACAUUGUAUUUGUGUCCUUUUCUAUAAGACAAAAAUAAAUAAAACAUAUAAAACAUUAUGAUGUAAUGCGGUGAACAUUUCAUAUAUAUUAAUAGCAUUUCUGGUACAAUAAAAUUUAACAAUCUA